UGGAGUAUGGGUUUUGAAGCUGGUGCUGAUACUGAUACUGCUACUUCUAAUUCUAACACUUAUCGAUGGGGAAAUUUUAGCAACUUUGAUGUUCCAGAGUUGUACAAGUAUAAUUGACUGGUUUAAAAUUUGAUAUGUGUGAGAAUUGUUAUUUAUUUUGUUAAUGUGCUUGGUCUAAGUCAUACUAAGACUGAUUAAGGAACAAUUGGGUUCAGACCUAUCAGGCGUUGAAUUGUUAUUUAUUUUGUUAAGACUGAUGUGUUAGAAUUUUUAUUUAUUUUAUGGAUUUGAAUAUUGCAUCUCAAUGUUGUUGCAAGUGAAUUGUUAUUUAUUUCUUGUUGUAUUAAGAGCAAUAUUAAACCAAUCGUGCGAUCAUCAGAAACUUUUCUCUGGAGUAAUUUAUUCUCAGAAGGAUAAUAAUGAGAAAUCAACAACACUAAAAUUGAAGGACUCUUCUUUAAAUUUAUAAAAGGAAAUUGGAAGUGCUCUACAUGAAAAUUUUAAUGACUGGGAGGACCUUCACACAUUUACUUCAUGAAAAACCUAGUCUGAUGUUGCCUAUUUCUCAAGUUACAUACACACGCUUACACAACAAAAAAAAAUGAAAGCAUAACAGGAUUACAUUUCCUUCUUAGACAAGGUUACAACAAACUAACACCAAAGUUUGCAUUGGUGUUGUUUGAUCCUGGAUAAUGCCAGUAUGUUGGUAUGUUGCAGGAAUUUUCCUGCUUCGCGUUCAUGUUUAGGUGCCCAAAGGCUGACUUCUAUUUUAUUUUAUUUAUUGACAUCGGCUGUGCAGUCCAUUCCACCUUAAAAAACUUAUAAAGUACUUAUACAUGGAGGCAACUGCGGUGAAGGCUGUGAGGAGUUGUGAAACAGAAGAGAACAAGUAGAACAUCAAAAGCAAAAUACCAAAAAAAUCUUGUGUAUUUAAAUCAGAGAAAAAAAUACCCUGUGCGUUUUGUUUCCUUAAGAACUUUAUUGACAGAUUUAAUCAAAUUGAACAGAAUUCUCUCUAGCAAAAUGUCUAACAUUAAUUCAAAGCAAAGCAAAAUAUUGGUACAUUCCAAGCAAAGCAAUGUUAUACAAAAGUAACAAAAUACAUAUUCUAAUAUCCAAAAUUAUCAAAUUACAUCCAAAUCACAUCCAAAAGUUACAUAAAAAAUACAUCUGAAAAUGCGUUCAUCCUCCAUGUUCCUUCACCUACACAUAGUAUAGACCCCUGAUCAUUAAAGUUUAAUAUUUUUUAGUACAGUAAGUCAAUAUCAUCAAUCUCCUGCCAAUGACAGAAAAUAAAGCACCAUACAUACUUCAUUACACACAAAUAUCUAGAGCUAAAGAAGGAUGUUACUCGAUUCCAAAAACUUGAAAGUAAUCAUAGAUCCACAUACAAACUUGAGCAAACUAAAAAAGGUGAGAACAACUACACUAAGAUGAACAAACUAAAAAAGGUGAGAACAAGGUAGAAAAUACAAUACUUGUAUCAAAACUUUUCUAGCAGAAGAUUGCUUGCCUAUCAAUAUUCUUCAAGUAUCUUGACCAAGGGAAGCAGUCCUUUUUCAUAUGUUGUGGCCAAGAGAUCCUAUAACCUAAAGCCUAUUAAUUAAUAUUAUGGGUUAGUAUAUAGCAUAUCACAUUCUUAACACGAAUUUAACAGUGAAUUCAUCACUUUAACAAAUAAACUGGAACAAGUACUUAGAUGCAUCACACAAAAGAAAAUUGCAUUCUUAUGUGGCCCCCUGUUAAUCAGUUAAGAUUGUUUAAAUAUCCACCAAGAGAAAAUUAACUUGCAAACAAGAAGUUGCAGAAAAUUGCACAACAUGGUUAUCCAUGAGAGAUUAAAACCUAUAAUGAUCAAAUUUGGUAAUUAACUUUUCAGAAUAUGAUAAAAUUGUGAAUACCCAUCUUAAACAAUUAGUAAUACCCAUCUUAAAACUAAUAUAUUUAUAAAAAAAAAGAAAAAAAUCAAAGUAAAGAGAUUCGUACAUCCAGAUUUAAAGCAAAGAACAAACCCAGAUUUUCAAAUGCCUAAAAAAAUUAUACAAUACUCCAAAAUAAAUGAUUUGGUCUAAAAAAAACCCAGAUUUUCAAAUGCCUACUUUUCAAUACCCAGAUUUUCAAAAUUAUACAAUACUCCAAAAUGAUUUGGUCUAAAAAAAUUAUACAAUACCCAUAUUUUCAAAUGCCUAAUUUUUCAUGUUUUAAUCAAAAUAACCUUAUUGAGACAUUUUUACAAACACCUAACAUACAUAAGUUAAAAAAAAAUUGAUAUGUAUAUUAACUUGCUUCAUAGAAGUUAACUUGCUUCAUAGCAGACACCCAAAAUGCAAAAAAAAAACACAGAUACAAGGCUAUCAGCCACAAUCUAAUAAACAACUCUAAUUAAAAAAAUAAUGAGCCUGACCUUACAAUUUGCAAACCCUAGCUUCAAAGGGGCUUUGUUCUGUUCUAUGUCCGGCGACUUCUUGAAUCUACCUUACGACUUCGCGAAUGGAAGAGAAAGAGAGAAGGAGGGGUUUUCGAUCCGUAGGAAUUGGAAGAAUAAGAGAGAAGGAGGGAGUCUUCCCACUGAAUUCGCGAGAAGGAGGGGUUUUUGAUCUACAGCUUUGGAAGAAUAUGAGAAAAGGAGGAAGUCUUCCCACUGAAUAAUCGAGUUUUUUUUUACGACCUGAUCUGUCAUUUUGACCCGCGUGUUUCUCUUUUUCUUGAGUCCGUUUGUUAGUCCGUUGUUUAAG
rnacentral:lncRNA from 1 species